GGGAAUGUGGCUUAGUGGUAGAGUGCUUGCCUAGCAUGCAUGAAGCCCUGGGUUCAAUUCCUCAGCACCA
rfam:Dipodomys ordii contig_25388, whole genome shotgun sequence.